rnacentral:rRNA from 1 species
UGCGUAGGCGGCCGAGCAAGUCAGUUGUGAAAACUAUGGGCUUAACCCAUAACGUGCAAUUGAAACUGUCCGGCUUGAGUGAAGUAGAGGUAGGCGGAAUUCCCGGUGUAGCGGUGAAAUGCGUAGAGAUCGGGAGGAACACCAGUGGCGAAGGCGGCCUACUGGGCUUUAACUGACGCUGAGGCACGAAAGCAUGGGUGCAAACA